UACGGAGGGUGCAAGCGUUAUCCGGAUUCACUGGGUUUAAAGGGUGUGUAGGCGGGCAGUUAAGUCAGUGGUGAAAUCUCCGGGCUCAACCCGGAAACUGCCAUUGAUACUAUCUGUCUUGAAUUCUGUUGAGGUGGGCGGAAUAUGUCAUGUAGCGGUGAAAUGCAUGGAGAUGACAUAGAACACCAAUUGCGAAGGCAGCUCACUAAACAGCUAUUGACGCUGAGGCACGAAAGCGUGGGGAUCAAACAGG
rnacentral:rRNA from 1 species